ACAUGGGAUAGUGGUUUAAGUGUUGGACUUUGACUCCAGAGACCAGGGUUCAAAUCCUUGCUCAGGCA